ensembl:lncRNA
AACUGUUAGUUGUAAUAAAAAAAUCAACCACUAUGUCCAAUUAUUCAUUGAUGUUAUUGUUUGGUCCCUUCAGUAUGUGAGGGUAGUGCCUGCAGGUGGAGAGUGCUAUGACACUGGACCCUUCUUCCCUUCUGACCCACAUCAUUUGACUCGCAUGGGCAUCGCACAGAGACGCCACCUGCUGCUCCGCCCCAACUGGCUGAUGAUCGGUGGGCUUUUAGUAGGAGCUGUGGUAAUCCUGUGCUUGUGUGUCAUUAUAUUGAUCUUGUUCAGGAAUUACGGCUGGCCUGAGAAACUGCCAGCUCAGGUCAGGUACCGUGAUCUGCAGCUAAGGUACAACAUGGACGACUAUUCAUCAAAGGGCUCCAGGGUGGUGGCUGUGAAAAAAACACAUCGAAACCUGCAGGUGGGGUUGACUGAGGAUUCAGUGCAGAGAGGUAAACACUGACGUCACAAACCACAGACACAUGAGCAAACCUUUUUUUGUACUACCAGGGGCUACAUAUGCUACCUUCUAACACAAUUAGACCUACCUUACACAAGAUCCCUGUGCAUCCCUGGUUCAUUCCCUUGAUAUAUAUAUACAUUUAUAAUAUAUCUAAUGGUCAAAUAAGAAAAGAAAAAAGAAAACAUUUGAUCAACAUUUGAACAAUUAAAGCUACUUUUUUCCUUAAGAUAGAAAAAUAUCUAUAGAUGCUUGAAAAUAAGCAAACAUGAUUUUAGACAUUGUCAAAUUACAAGGAAUCCCUCUGUACUUCACAUUAAAAGGAGAAAACAGUUUCCCCAAGAUCUCAAAAGCUUGUUUCUUUAUUUGCUCCAAUUAGCAUUUGAACAUCCAUUGCCAAGAUUCCUUGUCUCCUUAAGAUAACCAUGAUAUGAGGCUUCAUUCAUCAUGGCUGUAGCAAAGUGACCUAUUUUAAGUGCAAGUUUUUAGGAUACCCCUGAUGUUUUGGCAGAACCAUAUCUCUGUUUGACAAACACUUAGAGUCCUAGACAGCAUCAUACACAGUUACCAAAGAUUACUCUUUGCUUUCAAUGCAACAAUUGUCAGGAGGUGUAUUGGCUGUGCUAUGGUAUUGUAUUAGCUCUGUCCAGAGCUAGAAUUCCCACAGACUGUGCUCACACUGCCCGCAGCAGUGGCUCUGGUGUCUAAUGAAUUCUGGGACUAUGAAGAGCAAGUGGAUCUCGAAGCAUUCAGCUCCAGCACCUUCUAUGACAUCCUACUCAAGCACAGCGUGU